UACGAAGGGUGCAAACGUUGCUCGGAAUUAUUGGGCGUAAAGCGCACGUAGGCGGCUUAGCAAGUCGGAAGUGAAAUCCCUCGGCUCAACCAAGGAAGUGCUUUCGAAACUGCUGAGCUUGAGUACUUAAGAGGAUCGCGGAAUUCCCGGUGUAGAGGUGAAAUUCGUAGAUAUCAGAAGGAACAUCAGUGGCGAAGGCGGCUUCCUGGACCAAUACUGACGAUCAGGUGCGAAAGCGUGGGGAGCAAACAGG
rnacentral:rRNA from 1 species